rnacentral:rRNA from 1 species
UACACUCCUGCGGGAGGCAGCAGUGGGGAAUUUUGGACAAUGGGCGAAAGCCUGAUCCAGCAAUGCCGCGUGAGUGAAGAAGGCCUUCGGGUUGUAAAGCUCUUUUGUCAGGGAAGAAACGGUGAGAGCUAAUAUCUUUUGCUAAUGACGGUACCUGAAGAAUAAGCACCGGCUAACUACGUGCCAGCAGCCGCGGUAAUACGUAGGGUGCAAGCGUUAAUCGGAAUUACUGGGCGUAAAGCGUGCGCAGGCGGUUUUGUAAGUCUGAUGUGAAAUCCCCGGGCUCAACCUGGGAAUUGCAUUGGAGACUGCAAGGCUAGAAUCUGGCAGAGGGGGGUAGAAUUCCACGUGUAGCAGUGAAAUGCGUAGAUAUGUGGAGGAACACCGAUGGCGAAGGCAGCCCCCUGGGUCAAGAUUGACGCUCAUGCACGAAAGCGUGGGGAGCAAACAGGAUUAGAAACCCUGGUAGUCCCAUGAU